rnacentral:rRNA from 1 species
GACGAACGCUGGCGGCGUGCUUAACACAUGCAAGUCGAGCGGUAAGGCCCCUUCGGGGGUACACGAGCGGCGAACGGGUGAGUAACACGUGGGUGACCUGCCCUCAGCUCUGGGAUAAGCCUGGGAAACUGGGUCUAAUACCGGAUAUGACUCCAUGACGCAUGUCGUGGAGUGGAAAGCCUUGUGCGGCUGGGGAUGGGCCCGCGGCCUAUCAGCUUGUUGGUGGGGUGAUGGCCUACCAAGGCGACGACGGGUAGCCGGCCUGAGAGGGCGACCGGCCACACUGGGACUGAGACACGGCCCAGACUCCUACGGGAGGCAGCAGUGGGGAAUCUUGCGCAAUGGGCGAAAGCCUGACGCAGCGACGCCGCGUGAGGGAUGACGGCCU